AGAGUUUGAUCAUGGCUCAGGAUGAACGCUAGCGGCAGGCCUAAUACAUGCAAGUCGAGGGGCAGCGGGGAUAGCAAUAUCUGCCGGCGACCGGCGCACGGGUGCGUAACACGUAUGUAACCUACCUAUAACUUGGGAAUAGCCCGGAGAAAUCCGGAUUAAUGUCCAAUGACACUGUGAGACGACAUCGUCUUAUUGUUAAAGAUUUAUCGGUUAUAGAAGGACAUGCGGCUGAUUAGCUAGUUGGUGAGGUAAUGGCUCACCAAGGCAACGAUCAGUAGGGGACCUGAGAGGGUGAUCCCCCACACUGGUACUGAGAUACGGACCAGACUCCUACGGGAGGCAGCAGUAGGGAAUAUUGGGCAAUGGAGGCAACUCUGACCCAGCCAUGCCGCGUGAAGGAAGAAGGCCUUCUGGGUUGUAAACUUCUUUUGAUCGGGAACAAAGAGUCCAUGCGUGGACAGUUGAGUGUACCGAUAGAAUAAGCACCGGCUAACUCCGUGCCAGCAGCCGCGGUAAUACGGAGGGUGCAAGCGUUGUCCGGAUUUAUUGGGUUUAAAGGGUGCGUAGGCGGUCUUUUAAGUCAGUGGUGAAAUCCUCCAGCUCAACUGGAGAACUGCCAUUGAUACUGGAAGACUUGAGUAUAGUUGAGGUAGGCGGAAUUGACAGUGUAGCGGUGAAAUGCAUAGAUAUUGUCAAGAACCCCGAUUGCGAAGGCAGCUUACUAAACUAUAACUGACGCUGAGGCACGAAAGUGCGGGGAUCAAACAGGAUUAGAUACCCUAGUAGUCC
rnacentral:rRNA from 1 species